GGCUAACAAUAAUACUUUCAACAGUGAAAAUUUCACCAACGAACACUUUAUUCCAACCAGUCCUCGAUUGCAACGUUUCAGUUCCAAGGACAGCUGGAGUUCAAUUGCAUGCACAAAAUGACAACUGGAUUCACAAAAGCACACAACAUAAACAGUUUUCAGGUCCACUCCUUUCCAUCAGGCAUUUCAUUAACACCAGAAUGUAAUUACGCAGGUUACGUUACUCAUGAUGGUUCAUAUUAGAUUCGAUGUGUUUAAGAGUUCAAGAAAUAUUGUACCAUCAUUUUUAGCUGAAUCUCAUUUGGAUUUACAAAAGAAACCCUCUACAACAGUAUACUAUUAUGGAC
rnacentral:lncRNA from 1 species